rnacentral:lncRNA from 1 species
UUUUUUUUUUUUUUUUGGGCCCCUCAGCAUUAUUACAAUUUCGAAAGUUACAGAUCUAUGAGGUUAGGAGGAAUAAUAAGAGUCAUUGGUUUAGCAUUUUUUUGUUUUUUAACGACCUAUCUAGGCAAUACUUAACUGAACGUAAACCCACAUCCAACUCAAUGUGUAGUGUAAUAAAAUUUAAAAUAAAAUAUAUUCCAAUGUUAUAUAUAUAUAUAAUUAAAGAAAAAAGUUCACAUGUUAUGCUAUUAAAAGAACAAAAAAGCAUCUUUGAUAAAUAAUAUUUAAAAAAAUCAUACUUAGAGGGUCUAUAUAGUGGAUCAAGAAGAUCUAAUUUUUUAUAACUAUGAUUUUGAAAUUAAUGAAAAGCUCCAAGUCAGAAAAACAUACAUCAAAAUUAACAUGAAAAAUCUAAGCUUGUUAAUCAAAUCGACUGUAUCUCAUCCUACUCUUUUAAACUUUGUAUACGUGAGACUAUUCCCUUAAAUCUUUUUCAAUUUCUGUCUCUCAUACAAAUGAAUAUUUGCGUUAACUAUCUUUUAUUUAUAAGGUUAAGGUAAACUAUAGAUCUAUUUUUCUUCUUCACUCACUCGAGUACGAUCAACAUUUCACUAGUUCAUAUUCUUUAACCUUGGUUCAGAUAGCAUGUUGAAAUUAAUCGUGAGUUAACAUCAAAGUAGUUCAAGUUUUUCUCUUAAUAUUUUUAAGCUCUAGAUUUCUAACAUUCUUUUGUUUCUUUUUCAUGAACAAACGUACGAUAAAACCUUUCACGAACAACACCCAUUAUUACUCAGCUUGAUUAGGUUCCUCUCUCUCCCUUCUUUAGUACUCUUUCUUAACAAGAGUUGAAAAGCUCAGUUCUCGUCUCCUAUCAAUCUUAACCGAUCUAAGAUUCCUCCGCUUAGACACUGUUGGCAGGAAGAUGGAUUAUAUUGGCAUCUAACAACUGUGGACAUGGUGGUUUCUCCAUAUUUGUUCUACUUUGUGGCUCUAUAUUUCCAUGACCUGCAUUAUCUAAUCUUGACAGCAAUGUUUCUCUGGAUGUGUAGCAAAUACCAUGUGAGAUUGGAACGAGCAUCAACGGUUGCACAUCACUGUAUUUUAUUCACACAAGAAGAGAAGUAUGGGGAAGAGAGCGGAAUAACUCCAUGGAGGCCUCUCUUCAUAGCCCAACUGCGUAUAACUCCAUCUAUGGCUUCCCGCAACGUAACUCGUUGAGUGCAUGCAACAAACAAGUGAUAUGCAAUGCCGUCACAACACCCGCUCUCUUCCAUCAGCAAACUCUAUCGAUCCAUUCGAUGAUAUCAAGAAGAAAGAAGCAAGAGUCAAUAACAGCGAAGCAUAUGGAUCCUAAAUGACUCUGCUGAGCAGCCGUGAGCUCACUGCUCAUUGCAAAGUGCAGUGAAGCUGUGAGCUCACAGAUCCUUACGUAAAACGUAUACACAAAAGAGAAGAAACCUACUACUAUUUAACUGUGUACUUCUUCUGUCAGUGGUAGUCUCGCCAGCAAACGAGCAUCGUGACACAGCGGCGCAUGAUGUAUAACCUCGCCCUCUGCUCCUUCACUUGGUUGGCACACCGGCUGGAGAAGGACCGCGACGUCUUUAUCGUCGUCGUCCUCCGCCGGCCUUCCCUUGUGCUCGCCGACCGUUUCAAGAACGGCCCUCCUUCCUCCUCCGCAGCCGCCACCACUCUUCUGCCCCCGCUGCAGCUGUUCCUAAUCUCCUUAUUCGCCACCUUCCACUUCUCGUCCAUGUAGAUCUCGACUUCCUCUCCCACCACGUCUACUAUUUCCGAUGGGGCAACUAAGGGUAUAUAUAAAGGGAAGGAGGAAAUUGGUGUGGAUUCGUGGUGGGCAAUGGGCAUCACCACCUGGGGUAUCACAUUUUUAUUCACCAAAGAAAAAUCUAAAUAUAUCACCUCAAUACUCUAAUACAAACUGUGCUUUUGACAUCAGCACAGAGAAAAAACAAAGAUUUCACUCACUCGCCUCCUAAAAUUCAGAAAAUCUAAUUGACCUUUAGUGCAUACAAAAAUGUGAUAACUUGGAUUCAGAGAAAAGGAAUAAACUAUCAUGUUUAAGAUCUUGCAGCAUCCACUUCUAACUAGGACCUUAAUUUGGAAGCACAAUGCUAGUAGCCUAUGAACUGUCCGGCUACAGCUUUCAAGAUGCGUACAUUUUGUUAAUAAUAUAUAUUCUAUGUAAAUAGAGCUUUUAUAUAUAUAUAUAUGAAUCAUCAUGCACAGAGGUUUACUGCGAUGUGUUCAAGGAUAAAGAUUCCUCCCAAGGUUGACCGGUCAAUGUUGGGAACCUUCUCACGCAAAUGCAUGAACAUAAACAGGAGAGAUGAGAUUCCAAAGUUAAUGCAGCCAUGUGAGAUUUAGGCUGGUCUGAAUCAUGCACUCUGUCAGUGCCUGUAUGGAAUCUUUGAUUGCUUCCAUAUGCUUAGAAGUUACGAGUUCCCUGAACCAUUAUUGAGGCACAAGGUUUGAACCUCAGAAUCUAGCUAUCAUGCAUGUACUUUGGGAAGGUAAUAUAACGGCAAACUAGGUUAUAGAUCAUACAAAACUUAACAAAUGUGAUUGUACCUGAUAAAGGGUGGCCUUCUCUACCUUAAUUUUUUGGUAUAUUUGCGUAUUAAAUUUGAAUUCUUAUGGACAUAUUUCUCUAUGGAAGAAAGCUCUUUUCCGACUUUAAGCAUAUAAAGAAAUAUUUGGUUUCUACAUUGUUGAACCAAAUUUCAUCACUUAAAUAGUCACAUUUUUCAAACUUGGAAUAUCUUAGAAUGCUAUUGUUUGUUUUUUUUGGUCUUUUUCAUUUAGAACUCCUUUGAGAUUCACUAAAGCUACAAUAGCUAAGUAUCUUUUAAAAAAUUGAAAUGAUAAUAAGAAUUAUUUUUCCAUCUCGCCCUUUCAUUGUCAGCUUGUCAUAAGGUUUGAACCCCUCUAAAAGUGUUAUCAUGAAGCAUUUGUUGGCUCCUCUGUGAGUUGCAAGAAGCAUGAAGCAUGUUAAAUGCAUGCCCUAAUACAACUAGGCAUAGUCAGGACAUGAACUCUUUGAGCCACAACAUGUAUAAGCGAAGGGCUUCAUAUUUUAUGACUGCUUUGCAUGUGGCGGCCACGAUGCACAACCUCAAAGCCAGUCAAAUCUAAUCAAUUAUAUCAAUUACUUUGGUCCUUAGAUCAAGUUGUAGUUCUUAAACAAUGCAAACACAUCGCCCUCGGGGAAGUUGCUUGCUCUUCAAACAAAAAUCAUUUUCUAUCUUCCAUUUUUCUUACUCUAGAUUUUGACCUGCCAGAACCAUUGCAACACUUGUCUUGGGCCGAUAGGGUUGAUGGCCAUGUGGGCUUGGCUUAUGCAAUGGGCUUACAGACUCCAGGUUGACACAAAGAGCCUCUUUUUUACCUUACAAACCUGAACAAGUCUUAUACAGGCAAAAAACCAAAUAAGUAAUAUGCAACUAAAAGCUUUUUGUUGUAUAGGUAAUCAUAAUGGACAUGCAAUUUUCAGAACUUUGGGGUAUAAUUGGGGGGAUAGACUUACGACAAUUAGGCUCGUUUUAAUAAAGCAGUAAUUUUUUUUAGAUUACCCAUCGGAAAUGUGAGACUAGCAAACAUGAUUUGGUUAAAAUUGGGUUGAUUCAAAUAGUAAAUGAUCAUCAAACGAAGUGCGGGUCUUUACCUUUCGUGAAUUCUAAGGGGAAUUAGAAACGAGAGCAGCAGAUCGAAUAAAAGAAUAUGCACACAACGAAUUCUCAACUGAAGGCGACGAAACGACAAACCCUAAAAUCCAAAAGGAGGAGAAGGAACUGACCUCGAUUCGCUAGGGCUUCCUCCACGAAGGAGCGGAUCGAGUGGAGGGAGUGGCGCGGCCGGCCUUCUCCGGCUGGAUCUGGAUUUCACGGUGCAGCUCCGCCAUCCGGCCGUCCAUGGCUUCCUACGGUCCUCGCGCAGCAUUGCUUCGCCAACGAAAGACCACUUUGGAGAGUGUUUGCCGCUUUAAAUUCGAGCCACGCCUCCCGGGAAACCCAAACAUUUAAUGGAGCAGGUCGCAAACGGAUCUUAUUAGUGUGAUCCGCAUCCGAGUUCCCCAUUCCCAUUGGAGUGCUCUACUAUUGCAAUUCUUAGAUAUUAAAUGUGAUGUGGGAUUAUUAGUCAUUGAUAUUUUUAUAAUAUAAUAAUAAUAAAGAAAAUAAUAAUAAUAAUAAUAUGAUAAUAAAAACUUUAAUAUCUAAAAUAAAAAAUGACAUUUAAAAUAACACUUUAAUUUCAUUUAAAUAUAUCAUUUAAAUGAAAUUAAACUUACUAUUAUAGAAUCAAUAAGAAAUAUAUCAUUUAAAAUAAAAAAAACUUAAUUCAUUGAUUCUUUUUUAUUAUCUUAUUACAAUCCUUUGAUCUUUUUUAUAUAUUUUAAAUACAGAAGAAAAAAUAAUAAAAAUACUAUCAUAUCAGAGCUAAGCAAAUAAAUUAUUUUAACCUUCAUCUUGUUAAGUAAUUUUUUUAUAUAUUUAUUUUUACCAUAAUCAAUUUAAAAAAUAAAAUGAGGAAUAAUCCUGAUGUUGGCAUAUGACAACUUACAAAUUUUGUAGAAUUUUCUAAAAUAAUAAGAAACAUAUGAAACUGUCGGAUAUAUCUCAACUUCACUCAUCUUUCAUUACUACAUGACAUAUCUGUAGAAACCUAAACAUCCAUGUGUUCUACCAGAUAUUAAACAUAUAUAUGAAACCAUGGACCAUGAAAGAUAUCAUUUGGAAGCUUCUAAGGAAAUAUUUAGUCCCUUGUACCUCAACACUAAUCUUGCAAACAGUCUCAGCAUAUCAGAUUUACAUCUAGCACAGCACAAUGAUGUAAGAAUGGAAAGGAAUUUCUUGUUUCCAUACACAAUCAUAAACAUCUCAUAGGUUACUUUCCGUAGAUUAUGAUAAUUAGAAGUUGAAACCAACAGGAAAGCCUCUGAAAUAGUUACAUGCACAAUGUUGAAUCAUACAAAGAAUAGAUUUGUCCAGUGUCACGUGAUUUACAAAACAAGAACAUCAGAGAUUAAAACGUUUUACGAUCUGCAUCGCUUUCAAUGAUUAGCUUAGGUCUGUUGAACCAGGUAUACUCGACCAUAAACCCAGCGCUUACCAGGUACCGUGAAGGAUUGCUGCAUUAUAAAAAAACCAAAAUUACAAAGAAUCAACAAUUGAAAAUGAUAAUUUUAAUCGUCAUGGAUCGCAACUAAUGAAAGUCUAGAAAAUGGAUUUGGAUGGUAUCUAAUGCUCUUCCGACAUCGCAGUAUCUGUUGAUGAUCAGAUUAUCGCAUGACCAUCAUUCUUAAAAAAGAAAUGUAUCAUCGAGGAAACAUAAAACAAACUGUGUUGUAAAUAUAUAUUAUUGAUCUCCAAGCAAAAUGUUCAGUUCCAAUAACUCCCUAAUUACACAUGCCAGAGCGUAAACUUUCAAAAAACAUUACCAUUACAAAACUUAGUAGUAAAUCUUCAGCUAAUCAGAAGCUUGAUAUUCUGUAUCAAAAUCUAAAAUUAGAUGACCAGAUAAUCUUAUAUGAAAUGUUGCAAUAACAUGAAUUUGAGAAUCAGAUUCAGAUGUGUAUUUGGAUGUCUGGUUCAGCAAGGAGGGACAAAAGACAUGGAGACAUACGAAUAAAGUUUAUGAUAUACAAUAACCAGUGAUUUAAAAAGCGCUAGGCGUCAAGGUCCACAAACGCCCGAGGCGCUAGGCGCUCGCCCAGGCGCUCGCCCGAGCGAAGCGAGGCGCUAAAUUAUAAAAAUAUAUAAUAUAAUUAUUUAAAAUUAUCUAAAUUAUAAAAAUAUAUAAUAUAAUUAUAACAAUAAUUUCAAAUAAAUAAAAAUUAACAACAUUAAAAUCAAAAUAAUAUAUUAUUAAUCUAUUAACAGAAAAUUAAUCAUUUAAAAAUUCAAAUAAACUUAAUAUUAAGAGUAUACUGAGCCUGAUGGAGAAACGAGGAAGCAGCGGCGAGCGGCGGCGAGCAGCGGCAGCAGCAGCAGCAGCAGCGACGGCGAGUGGCGGCAGCGGCAGCGGGAAAGGGAGCGGAAGGCGCGAGCAGCGGGAGGCCUCGAGGGAGGCGCGAGCAGCGGGAAGGCUCGCGGGAGGCGCGAGCAGCGGGAAGGNNNNNNNNNNNNNNNNNNNNNNNNNNNNNNNNNNNNNNNNNNNNNNNNNNNNNNNNNNNNNNNNNNNNNNNNNNNNNNNNNNNNNNNNNNNNNNNNNNNNNNNNNNNNNNNNNNNNNNNNNNNNNNNNNNNNNNNNNNNNNNNNNNNNNNNNNNNNNNNNNNNNNNNNNNNNNNNNNNNNNNNNNNNNNNNNNNNNNNNNNNNNNNNNNNNNNNNNNNNNNNNNNNNNNNNNNNNNNNNNNNNNNNNNNNNNNNNNNNNNNNNNNNNNNNNNNNNNNNNNNNNNNNNNNNNNNNNNNNNCGCCCGAGCGCCUUUUGCAAUCACUGACAAUAACUAUAUUUUAAUUUUAUAUGAUUGUGAAAUCUCAAGAAAAAAAAAUGCCUUCAAAACAAGGGAGAUUAAUUUCCGAUUUCAUUAUGGUAUAUCAUACUGAUCAUUAUGAUUGUUUAACUCUCAAGUUGACAUUCAGUUUCUACAUUCAAAAACAUGGACAGGAAUAAGUAAACCCACAAAAGGAUAUGCAUCUCACACAUUUCGGGAGGGUUAAUGCAUGAUUACAUAACACCUCACAUGAUGAUUCAUAUGAUGGCAACAAGAAAUUAAUACAGUAACAAUGAGAAUAGAGAGUGCCAACAAGUGCAUUUUCAGUUUAGAAGCACCCAUUCAUAUGAUACAAAGGGAAACUACAUACCUCCACCUUUGUUUGAAACUCCAAGGAGCACUCGCAUACAUGACAAGCUGCACGGUGAGGAUGUCCGGUCGAGUUUUCUGCCCUAACAAAAGUAAAGACCUGCAGAGCAAUAAGAUGGAUUAUAGCAUUACAUAGUUUUUCAAGCUAGCAGAGAUUAUGUAUUCAUAGACUAAGCAAAUGAUUUAAUAGACCCCGACCUCCUCCCCACAGUUGGGGCAUGAGCCUUUCAUUGCAACCAGUUCAUUCCUCCAAAGACCUUGCAAUGCUUGGACUAAAAUAAAGAACCAGAUUUAACUAGUAGCCUCCCAAACAUUAAACAAAGAAAGCUGGGAAUUUAAUAAACUUAAAUCAUCUAGAAAGUACAAAGACAAUGAUGACUGACCUACUAAUAUGCAUGACACAUAAGAAAGCAUUCGAGCAAUGAACACUCUAAUGCUGAUGGAUUUUGAUUCAUCAUUACAUGCUUUCCAAACAAGCUAAUAAAGCCACAAAGAACAAUUUGGUUUUUGACAAACACUGGCUAGUGUGUUCAUUCUGUCGAGAUACAGUAGGUUAACAAAUGAAUCCUAAAUUUACAUAACCUCGUCCAUCCGAUUUCAAUUUCAUUUUUCUCACUUAAUCAACAAAUACUAGACAAUUUCUUUAACACCUAUAAAUAUAAGCAUUAUAUAAUUAUAAACACAAUAUUAUAGAUAAGAGAAAUGUUAUUGGAGGACAGGUUACAUAAUCAAAAGUUUAUAACACAAUCAAACAAAAAGGUUUUAACAGGUAUGCUACACAACUUUGCACUCUGCAUUACGAUCUAUGCUUGAACUUUGACCGUGAAACAUGCAUCAACUUAAUACUACCUAAUAUAUGUAACUUUGGAUUUUUUUUUUUUUCAGGUUGAGGUGCACCAUGUUGUCUGCAAUAUGCUGUUUUACGUAUUGCAUUUUUCACCAUAAGUAGGAUUGUCUCCCAUCCCUAUCAGCACCCAUCUCCACCCUCUAGCAUGUACAACAAUGUUCGUAUUUGGAAAUUUCUGUAAAAUUAACUUAUGAUGAUUGCAGAAACUUUUUUGCAACAUCGCAUAAUUUUAAUCUAUACAUCGCAUAAUUUUAAACUUUUUUGCAACUUACUUGAAGCAAAUGCAAGAGGAUAACCAACCAGAUGUCCCAGUCCCAAUAUUAGAGUUUUGUUAACCAUCAUAAGCGAUCCAAAUGUCGAUAUUUCACUGUAUAAGUAAUAUCUUGAGUUAAUCGCAUCAGCAAAAGCCAGAGUGAUGAUACAAAUGACAGGCACGAGAAUUGCUGAUGAUCCAAAUGCGAGUAGCACCAACCAAACACUUGCUAAAGCAAAAGCUUGUGAAGGAUCUUCCUGCCCUAAACACAAGUCAAAUCAAAACCUCAACCAAGUAAAAGGAAGUUUCCAUGAACCAGAAAAUAGAGAGGGAAAAGGACACAGGCUAACAAGAAUUUACCUCAGCAUCUGCAUAGGUUGAUUGUCGCCUGAGGCUACAUCGAGGAUACUUAACAACAGAUUUUGAACCAUACAGCCGCAACUUCAACUGUUAUAGAAAAUACAAACGUUAAGCAAAAGAUAGUGAAAAUGGACAUGAAGGAAAGACAGCCACUUGAUUAUACCUCAAUUUUAUCAAACAUCGCAUCAACAAUCAAAGGUUUACCAUUGUAAUAUGAAUCUCGUGCCUACAACAUAAAAGCAAGAUGAACAAGUAGAUGAAUUUACACAUCCAAACUUCCUAAUUCUGAGGAGAACUUCCAAAGAUCAUAAAUAAUGGACAUAACCAUAAAUAACGCUUUGCCCAAUGUUUCAUUUCUUUCGAUCAAAAUAAAAACAGAGCUCCAGAUUAUGACUUAAAGUGACUGCAACAAGAAAAAGUAGUUCAAUUCAUCUCAUAGGCAAAUUAAUUGAAUUUCAUGCUUCCUGGUACAAAAGAAAAGCCAAAGAAAAUCAUAAAACUAAAGUUCAUCUACUUGCAGAAACCUAUCAAUUAAUGAACUCCAACUAAAAAUGGAUGACAAAAAUAAUUAGCAAAAGAAUGAUGAUAUGACCAAACUUACUUAAAUGUAUUAUGAGGCAGAAAAUUAUCGAACCAUUUUGGAGGAUGAAGGUAAUUAGAAGCUUUAUGUGGUUUAUUCCAAAAACAAUGAAGCUCAUGUUGCAAAUUACUGAUCUCCCUGAUCUGUAGAGCUGAAUCUGAAUCCUAUAUAGACUUCAAGAUUUAUAGUACUGCAUGUUAGUAAAUUUUGCAAACACAUUUAAAGAAAAGGGAGUUCCAAAUAUGCACAUCAGUUCUUGUUCUUCUUUAUUUAACAUCUAGCACGUUUGAAGAUUGCAGAAUCUCUUCAUUGUUAUCCUCGAAUAGUCCAGUGUGUUAUUUGCCUCUUGCAGGAUGGACAUCACAACAAGAAUGCUUUUACCUGCUGAUAGAGGGCCUCCAGCAUCUCCUUACUGGCGGUCUCGAUAGGGCCGACGUAGAGGCAGGAGGGGGCAUCCGCCGCGACCGCGAGUACCGGGGAGAACGACCUUCGGCCGCCGCCGCGCGGCCGCGGCCGGAGCCGGUCGUGCGCGGAAAGGGGGCGGGCGCGGAGGACGUGGAAGGCGGGGACGGCUGCCGCUGCGGAGGAGGAGGACGAGGAGGAGGACAGGGGCAUGAGGCCCGCUGGCGCCUCCGCGCGUGGAGGCAGCGGGCAGCGCGGUGUAAUCGCGGCCGCAGACGCUGCGUUGUGGCCACCAUUUAAGAAGCCACGUCUCUCGACGCACCACCACAAGACGAUCGCAAGCGUGAGUGGAUGUGUGUCUCUCAUUGGAUAUUUCUCUUUCAGCUUUGCGCGGCCAAUCAUCGAAUAUAUAAAUAUACAUAUAAUAAUAUCUGUUAGUUUUGUCCAAAAUAAUAUGUCCAAUUAAUCUGUGAAAAUGAUCUUAUUUUGGUCUCCCAUAAAAUAUAUAAAAGAUGAAAUUAAAAAAUUACCCCACACAAAGAAAUUAUAAUAACCUUUUUUUUUUUUACUUUACUCAAGACAUUAGGAAAACAUACAAAGUGGAUUAUCCGCUUUGCAUCGAAAUUAUUAACUCAUCCAUAAUUUCUUAUCUCAAACGAAACAAAAAUAAUAUUUUGUUUAAAGAUUCAUUUAAUAAAAUCUCACUAAUAUUUUAAAUUUUGAUUCUAUAUUAAAUUAGAUUACAGUUAAUUAUGUCAAAUCUUAUGAACACGAAUCGAGUCAAAUUCAAUGCAUGUAUCAUUAAAGCUAUUGGAAUUUAUACACCGAAAACAUGAGCGAUAUCAAGAGCAUCUAUGAAGAACAGAUGAUACUGAAAGAGAACUUGCAAGAUACAAGAUUACGCCUUUGUGUUCUUUCUAUCCCCUAAGUAGGAAGCGAGGAAGCCGAUGGCCUUGGAUGAGCAAUCUUUCUAUUCCCUACAUCUUCCCAGCUUCUCCAACGAGGCAUGGCGGGCCGUUGGCCACUUGAGUUCUGUUCGGUCUUGGGGUUUCUCUCGGCAUCCUUGCCAUGCUGAAGCUGCUCCAAUGCCACUACCACUUGAUCCAUGGUUGGCCUGUGCUUUGUUUCCAAGGACAGGCACCUGUCUGCGAGACCGGCUAUUUUCUGGGCUCCUGCCAGUGAGUACUGUGCUCUCAAUCUGGAAUCCAGGAUGCUGAUGAUCUUCCUCUUGCUCGCAAGAUGAGGCUUCGCCCACUCCACCAAUUUGUACUCUCCGGUGGGGCGGUUCUUGUCGAUGGCACGUCGGCCAGUCAAUAUCUCGAGAAGAACAACUCCAAAGCUAUAGACAUCACUCUUGGCAGUCAAAUGUCCUUUGAAAGUUUAUGAUGCAAAUCAACAAGUCAGCACAUGUCUCAAGCAUCACUUUCAUUAAGAAUGUAUGCUCACCAAACCUACCUUCUCCAUGUAAUGUGUAGAAGAUUACAAUCUAUAAAGAUGAGAGAGAAAUAGUUUACCCAAAGUUACACGUAAUGACUACUCGGAGGCACCCUUAAAUAAUAUCUUUAUUUCCUCAUUGACUUGACUAAUAUUUAGCUUAAAUAACUCCAAGGCUCUAAUCUCAUGUAAAUCACCGAUAUAGUAGUAAUCGGAAUGGCAAAUAAAGGAUGAAACAAGAUGCCUAAUCACUAUAUAAGCUACAAGGCCGGCCAUCUCCAACAUUACUUGUUGAUAUUUCACACAAACCAAGUAGUAAGCAAAGUAUUGUUUGAGAUGAUAUGUGCUAUUGCUUUUGUGGCAAUAGUUUUAACCAUCACCUUAUGUGCAGAUUGCAUAAUUGAUCCUAUUUAAAAGUGAAGCAUUCUAAAUAGAUAUACUAAAAGCCAUGAGAGGCCGAGUUGGAUCAAGAUAAACUAAUGGUAAGUAAAAUGAUAAACGAUAUAAUUAGUUUAAUAGACACCUGACCAACUCAUGUGUUCAUGAGGAAAUUGCAAAUUUUAUGUGACUUAAAUGACUAAACAGAUGAGGGGUUUUUGUGAAUUACAAAUCAGAUGACAAGCAAAAGUAUUCCAGGCUGUGAAGAAGACACAUUCAGCAUUUGCAAUAAUAAAGAUGCAACAAAAUUACCUGUUGCAAGAUACUCAGGAGCAGCAUAUCCAUAUGUCCCCAUGACCCUUGUAGAAACAUGGCUUUUAUCACCGGUAGGACCAUCUUUCGCCAAUCCAAAAUCAGAAAGCUUUGCAUUAUAAUUCUGUACAUAAAUCGGAAACAUCAAUUCUGAAAGUUGAAUGAACGUCCAUUUCAAUGUUGAAAACCUAGAUGACUACAUACUGAAUCAAGAAGCACAUUGGAGGUUUUGAAAUCACGAUAAAUGACUUUCGCCUUGCUGCUAUGCAGAAAAGCAAGUCCUUUUGCAGCUCCCAGAGCAACCUUCAUGCGGAGGUUCCAGGAGAGUGGCUGAUAGUAUGAACUCCCUGCAUCACCAUAAGAGCAUACAAACUGAGAUUCAUACAGAUUGAAGUAGAGUAACAGCAAACAGUAGCAAUCUCUUAGAAAACAAUUCCUUCAAGUAAAACGUGAAGAACACAUCCGGUAUAAUAUCAGAUACAGUCCAUGAAGAACAUACUCCUGAAGAGAUGAUUCUCCAAGCUUCCCCGAGACAUGAAUUCAUACACAAGAAGUCUUUGUUCAUCCUCCAAGCAGUACCCAAUAAGCUUUACAAGGUUAGGAUGAGACAGCUGACUCAAGUAAUUAACCUCCGCCUACAAGAUUUAAAGAAGAUGCUAUUGAGACUACAUGUAUCUGGUAAGCUACAGAAUAGAAUUUGAAAUCUAAGUUACCAGCUCGAUAUACAUAUCAUUCAUACAUGAGGUGGAUCUCAACACUAAGAAAUCAGAGAACAAAAGAGAGCAAAGAUUUUGCAGGAAUCAAUACUCACCAACCAUUCUUUGUGACCCUGGAAACCUUCCUGGUUGAGUUUCUUCACAGCGAUAACCAUUCCAGUCCCAGGCUUAGCUGCUGCCAACGUGUGCUCAUUGAUCCAUCCCUUGAAGACUGAACCAAAGCCUCCCUCUCCCAACACACUGUCUGGCCGGAAAUUCCUGGUGGCAGUUCUGAGUUCAUUGAAGGUGAAGCUCUUCAGAUUGGAUGACGUCAAGAUCUCACCCUCACUCCGUGGAGUCGGCGGCACGGAGGACGCAGACACCCUGCUGCUGGAACUGCUUAAAACGUUUCCCUUCCUGCUCCCAUGUGGAGAGUCCUCUCCUAGGCAUUCAAAUACAGUGUCUACUAGUAAAUCAGACUCAAAAGAAAAAGCCACAGACAAUGCUUUCAUCGUAAACUCUUGCAUUAGCCAAUCAAUUGAAUCAAGUAAUACAACUUAGCACAAUUCAUCACCUUACUUAACAUUGUGGAACAAAAAAUACGAGCGGCAUACUUUACCAGAUAAAUUAGCAAAAUUGAGCCUAUGUUUGAAAGGAAUAACUGCUAAUAGGCAAUUUCCACAAAAGAAGACUUACACGGGAAUAAUUCCAAGAGAAACACAAAAUUCACUCUUCCAACACUAUAUAUAUGUGUGUAUAUAUAAGGCAGUAAAACAACUCUUAUUGAGUUGAUCGAUAUGCCGAUCCAUCAAAUCGAUACCUCUUCCUACCCCUCCAAUGACAAACUGAAAUGUUGUUUGCCCUAAAUUAUUUCCAAAAUUAGAAAUUUAAUGAUCUCUAAGAACAGAUUCAGAACAACUUACUCCCUUCAGGGAUGACAAGGUGGGAUCUCUGAUGUGGUAAUAGGAAAUUGUGAUAUGUCACUGCCGUGUUAACAUGACAUCAGAUAAAUGCCCCAUAUUACUGGUCCACAUUAAUUAAUGGAUGACAUACCUGCAUCUGCAUGUCUCCUUGGUGCCAGGAUCAUUCAUCGUGCCACUACUCAUCACCUGCGCGGUAGCACAUCUGACACCUCUUCUUAGAAGGUUUAACACUAGGCAUUAAUGGACGACGGAAAGGGGUCAGGUAGGCUCCUCCGUCCGCCUCCGAACGACGACCAAAAGUGAUUCAUCGACAAGAGAACGGUGGAUUCCCUAAUCUACCAUACUAUCAUUAGUAAUCCCUCAGAGAAGACAGUUAAAUAUUGCAACUUUUUUCACUUAAUCCACUAAAAAACCAUUCAAUUUCUAUGGAAAACGUCCCAAGGUUAUAAGCUAUGAUCGAACUCAGAAGCUGCAUAAAACAAGAUGGAACCUUUAGUACCUGAAGCGAAGACGUCGUGGGAGGGGUUCUCCGCCUUGACCUUAGCGCCCCAGCAAUUACCCAUCGGAGAACAACCCAAGCGUGACGACAGCCACGGCCUUCAAUCUACUGGCAACCCCCGAAAGAUAGGGUUCUCCGCGGCCAAAUCUGUGAGGCAAGAACCACCGGAUCCGGCAAGGAAGCAGCCUUUUGGCGCAGUAAUGCAGCAGGAAGCCGAGGUUAACAGCGAUUCGGCUUGCUCACCAAGAGCGGAUCUCCAGUUGCGGAGCUCCAAAUGAAAGCUGGGAUUCAGCGGCGAAGAGGAGCGAGCUUGAAUCGAGUGACGAGUGGAGAGGGCGCAUAAAAAGAAGAGAGAAAGAGGAAGAGAGAGAGUGAUAGGUGCUUCUUUUUGCGCUUUUGGUGUUCUGUGUUGCUUUUUAUUAAGUCCGUCACGAAGGUUGACUUCAGAGUCAUGGAUUGGAGAGUCGUAAUUAAUAGCGACACAAACUAUAUAUAUAUAUAUAUAUAUAUAUAUAUAUACUCUUUCAUUAAUAUUGUUUAUAACAGAUUAUUUGAUCGCAAGAAAUGAUAAACUUUGAACUAAAUAUAGGACUUGGAGUCCUUCGUUCUCAUAUUUCUCAAUCAAUAUGGAACUAAAUAAUUUUAUUAGUGUUUUAUUCCGAAGGGGAGCCAAGGACGAGUUUGCUUGGUCGAAGUGUAAGCAUCGGGUCCUCCUUCGAUCGGUCAAUCAUUAGUAUGAUCCAUAGGCUCACGAGGAAUUAUCCAUUUUGUGCAAUGGGCAUACCCGUAUAAUUUAUCAUUUACGAAGCAUUAAUGCGGUCAUUAGUGUGGCUCAUAGGCUUACGAGAAAUUAUCCGCUUUAGACAAUGAAUGUAUUCGUACGAUUUUAUCCUUUUUCAUAUAAGCUCCGUAAAGCACUUAGUUCCAUAAGGGAGAUUUCAUGAACUUAUAAGUUCUUAGUUCCAUACUCCUCGAUUAAUAUUUGAACUAAAUGAUAUAUAUAUAAUCACUGUCCACGACUUUUCCACGUGGAUUGAUCUUUCGUCUUUGAUGUCAAUUCCAGCCUCUGUGCCAGUCUAGAAAGCAAUAAUACUUCACGUAAAUAAUGGCAGGAGCAGCUUUACAAGUACGGUUACAAUGGAUCUGCAAUCUUAUUUGAAAGCUCUGGAGGUGGGUUUACUCUCUGCGACAUGACACCGAGAUAAUAUAAAGCUUGAUAGGAAUUGAUAUAUAGAGGAGAGAGGCUUAAGGUUUGGCAACUCUGUCGUAUCACUGUCUCCAUUAAUUGGAGUUUGCUCGAGGGAAGAAUGAGGGAGGUCAAAAAGAGGGCUCUGCAACUUGCGGCAGCGGCACGAGAUUGCACGUAAGUGUCGACCAAAAGCUGUGGUCUCAAACGAACAUGAACACCUCACGAGAAUGACAUGAAGGAUUAGGCCAUGGUUGAAGUGUCUGCAAAUCAUAAUCUCAAAGAUAUCGAGAUGACAAAAUCCGAUUACGUUCAGAUGCAAUGUCCUCAAUAAAUCCGAUGAAAGUGCCCUAUAUAUACGUAAGAGUCGUGAAGGAAAGCUGCGUUUGGAUAGAAGUGGGGGCAGACAAUAAUAAAGAGGGGGGGUCGACUUCGUAAGAGGUUGAGCUGUGUCCCCAUGUGAGGGAGCUGAAGCUUUUCUUCCUCCCUACUGCAGAGAGGCGGAGGAGGGAGGAGGCAGCCCCCACUUUGACUUGCUCGAUUUCUAGAUGACGGACAAAGAGCAUGCACCAUUAUUACAAGGAUGCAAGAGAUGAAGGAUAACAGGAGGAAGCAGGCUGGGGAAGAUGAUGUGCUUCUCAAGGGGUACGAAGUGGGGUGAUGACGUCUCUAACAUGUCUUUGGAUUCGUCAUACUGUGAAAGUAAUGAAACUAAACUUUCCAAGCCUAAACUACACAUUUCCCUACAAUUCCCGCAUGCAAGAAACUAAACUUUCAAGUCUAAUCCCUAAAGGCAACGAAUGGAAGAAAGAAAAAAAGAAAAAAAGAGGGGAGAGUAUAUUAUAAUACAUUAAUUGUGAAUUAAAAUGCAAUUAACUAAACGAGGAAACUAUUUGCCAUUACUGCAUGUAAACAGAUAUAAUAAGACAGUAAUUCUCAUGGCAAGUUAUUUUAAUGAUCCACUAGCACACGUGAAAGAUAGAUGUCAUGAAAGCAUCUUAUUGCUGUCGGCAUUGCCAGCUAAAAUGUGGUAAAGAGCAGGUCUCCCAAGUGGUGGAGAAGCUGAACUUACAAUUAGUUGGAAAUGAUAAUUAUCACAAAGCAAAUAAACAAGUUGUGCCGAUUUUUGAGAGUUGCAGAAUCUGAAAUAUGGCUUAUUCAUCCUUGAGGUGCUUCCCUCACUCGGUUCUUAGCAAAGAAACUACAAGAAAAACCCACGGAUUCUCAACACAAAAUUCAGAGGUCAAUACAUGAGCCUCGACUUGAGAGUUAGGAGUGUGUCCUCAGGCAGACGACUUGACUGUAGCAGCAUUGAUGAUGUCCACGAAUUCCGGCUGUAAUAAACAAAUAUAGAAAGGAAAGAAGAUGAGAUCUAUAGCCAACGUAACCAACAAAUUUAGAGUCAACUUGCUAAUUGAAGAAAAUUCCAAAGCACAUUCUCUUCAGUACUCAUGUCAUGUAGCCACCGUCUGCGACAUGCCAGAGAUAAAACAUGCAUCUAGCAAAGGCAAUGGGACAGCAAGCAUCUUCAUAACGUGUGAGGAUCAUGAAGUUGCCAACUAGUAGAUGACUGUUAUUCAUAUUGUGGUUGUCAACCCAACCCCCAAAAAACAAGUCAAUCUUAGUGCAAGUUGAAAUCCAAGCAAUUUUUCCCUCUGAAAAGGGUACCAGACAUGUUUUUGUGGUCAUUCUUCAUGCCAGAAAAGUAAAUUAUCACUCUUGUGGGUUUCAGAUAGUGACUAAUGACAGCCAAGAAUAUGUAAUAUAUUUAAGGACAUGCAAAUCUAGACAGACAUGUAGGAAAUAUAGACACAUACCUUCAAAGAAGCACCUCCUACAAGAAAUCCAUCGACAUCAGGCUGUGCUGCAAGCUCUUUGCAGUUAGCCCCACUUACAGAACCUGCAGGAAUUUCAUUUCUCAUGUUAGCAAAAAUUUCACAAGUAAUAUAUAAGAUGUUACUCCAUACGAGUCUCAUCAAAAAAAGGAAACACAAAUAAAAGAAACACGUAAAGAAUUACUCCCAGUUCACCAUGCUCAGUGCAACUCAAAGUGAUACAAGUACAGUCGUCUGGAACUUAUGGAGACAAGAGGAGAAAGGAAAAUCAAGUUGACAAUGAACAUUUACCUCCAUAUAUGAUCCUGGUUGACGCUGCAACUUCAGCACUCACGUUUGUUUGAAGCCACUUCCUUAAUUCCAAGUGGACCUGAGAAUCAUUGGAACAUGUGGCAGAAAUGGAUCAUAAUGAACUCUGAAAGAAAUGUCUUGGGAAAAAUCAGUAUCACAAGACAUCCUUGUGAAGCUAACAUAGCUCAGCAUGGAAAACAUGUCCACUGGUGUGAGCCUUAUGUUACCAUAGUGCUGUUUUGGCACACCCCUGAACUUGGUGCCCACGGUCUGUACUAACAGGUAUGGGUGGGCAUGACCAACAUAUGAAGUCCUUGGUGUUACCGAGAAAAAGUUUUUUCUAAGCUGCACCAUGCAUGAGCAUUAAAGAUGCCUGAUGUUACAUAUCUAGGAAAAAGAAUAAUUUAACCCUAUGAAAUUCAAUUAUACGUGGUGAUCAUAUGUUGCUAAAUAUAAAAAUGAACAGCAUAUUUUAUUUUACAGGAACUUAGUGACCAAUUAUAUUCGAGAAAUGGUGGCCGGAAACUUUAAGCACGUUUAGAUUGUUAGGUUAGAGACUUAUAGGAAGAUCAAAAACUUGCAAAUAAAUAGGCUAGGUUCAAAACAGAAUCACUUAGCAACAAGCCUGUAUUGUGUUACUAUGGCAUCAAAAAUGCAGAAAAUCUUUAACAAUUUUUUUUUGAUAUAACAUAUAUAGCAUGCCAACCUAUUUUGGCCACUUUGGACAAGACAAAUUUGACUAAUGAUUGUGAAUUUUACAUAAAAUUUGACAAAUAAAUGUGAGUUUUAGAUCUGCUGUUGAAGUAGCAUAUGAGACAUCACUGUGAUCUCCAAGGUAAAGACCUCAUUGUCCCAGUAGUCUUAGUGAAUAUAGAUGCAGAUGAUGGCAUAUUUUGGUAAAUAUUUUCCAAAACCAUACACAAGCAUUAUGAAGUAAUAUCCACAGAACUCGAGAGUUGACAUGGAAACAUGUGCAAAGAACUAAUACCUCCUGGGCCUGAGCUGGGGUAGCAACCUUUCCAGUUCCAAUUGCCCAAACUGGCUCAUAAGCCACAACCACAUUGGUCCAGUCAGAAAUCCGUUCUGUAUGAGAAAAAAUCAAUUAGACAGGGUACCUAAUAGUAAAAAAUAUUUGGUACAGAUGUUUCAUCCUACAAAAUCAGUUAGACCUACUACAUAGAAUGACACCCAAGAAUGACAGAUGACCCUAAAACUUUUUACAGUUAUUAAAGUUUAUAUCAUGAUUCCACAAGUACAAGAAGGUGCAUAGCUCAAUUGAACCAACGGGCAACAGCUUUAAUUUAUGAUAUGCAAAGCCAUAAAUACUUCUCUAGCUAUAUACAACACUAGGAUGUUUGUUGUGUACUUGAAAUCUAUUAUUAUCACAUUUUCUUCUACAUAGGAAGGGUUAAAUUGAACUACCAUUAUUAUUUAAGUCAAUGAACAUUCUAAUUCAUCCAUUGGAGAAGAACAAAAUUGUAACUCAUGAGACAUCCAAGUUAUGUAGCUAAAGCAUUUGCUUGUUGUGUCAAAUUCAAGAUUGUGAACAUCAUACAAAAUCAAAGAUGACAAAGAAGAAUUGAAUUCUUGGAAUUUAUUCCACUAAAAUAUAUUGACUGUGCUCCUAUUUGAUCGAAUGCAAUUUAGUCAGAUAAGGGCACGCUUGGGUAAAACAAUAAGAUUGCAUUAAAUUUGCCCAUAAUUCACAUUGAUACACCCAGGAUCCCAUAGUGCCAAGAGACUGCAUUAAAUUUGCCCAUAAUUCACUCAGAUAAAACUUUCCUUUUUCACACAAAAUAAAGAAAAGUAUACUUUAAAGUAACCAAAGACCUAAAACAACCACAAUAUUAACAAAUACUAGCUCAUGCUCUUCCUGGUUACAUGCAUCAGAUCUGGACACUGAUGACCACUUAAACAUGUGGCAUACCUAAAUGUUAAAUGUAACCAUCUCUUAUAUAGAGUCACAAUGUGAUUGAUACCUAAGCCAUGACCUAGCAAUAAACUUGAAACCAUACUGGAAUAUGACUGAGACACAGUUACUUAAAACUUCCCAUGCCAGCAGAAUUGAUGUAAAAACACAUGAUACAACACUUUCUUUUUACACUGGAUGUGUACACAAAACUCAGCCCACAAGUUAAAGUGACAAUAACACGAGGCAUGCAGAGUACCUGCGAUAGCUUUUGUUUGUGCAGCAACUACAUCCAUCGUGGUUCCUGACUCACGCUGCUCAAGUGUCUCACCAACACAAGCAAUCACCUUCAGGCCUUUAGACAGUGCAUAUGCAACUUUAUCUCCAACAAACUGCCCAAGAAAAUAAAAAAUGUGAAUUAGAAGGUAUUGAAUAUCUAACAAAUUUGAUGACAACUUCAGCAAAUUUCCUUGAUAGGCAUAUUAACGGGGAAGACAGCUAAAAUAUAUGAGAUAAAAUUCUAGUUGCUUGCUGGUAAAAGUGUAUGGUCAUUUUGCAUCACAAGUUGUUAACCAAAAUAUACUAGCAUAUUCUACCAAAUUACAUUGUAUACCAGAAGCUAAUACAACUUCCUUUUGUUCCUAUAAGUAUGCAUUAUAUCGUUGGCAUCCAUAGUUUAAAUAUUAUGGAGAACAAGAUCUUAUAAGUAUAAUAAUUUGAUUAGAAACUAGCAUAAAGCUUAAUCCAGCACUUAACUGAUUUCAUCGAGUGAUAAAAUGUGCAACUAAAUUUUCAUGUCGAUGCUAACUGCUGUCUUUUUUGGAACAUGCAUAACAAGAUCGGGAAAGCAAGAUAUAUGGCACUUUAGCAAGCUACUAGCUAAUUGUUAAUGCAGCACAUCUAGGAUUUGCAUAUAGCCUUUUAGCACAUAGGCAACUUACCUCAUUUGAUUCACUCAACAAAAGCCUUCGUUCAGAGUGUCCCAGAAUGACCCAUGGAAUGUCAAGGUUGACAAGCAUCUCAGCACUGCACAAGGAAAAACAAAUAUAUUCAAAUUAGGAGUGCCCAAUUGUUUUACAACAUUGUUAUAACUUAAAGAUGUGCAAGUAGGCAAUGAAAUGGCCAUUCAAAUAAAAACACCAUCAAAGUUGAAAAACCUAAAAAUAUACUACAGAAUGAACCAAAAAUAGAAACCUUAAAAAUCAAAAGUUCAUAACAUAGUAAGAAUUUGAUGAAAAAAGGCCCAUAAAAUGUGAUCCAAUGAUAAAAAUAUAAAUAAGAGAAAAAGUUGUUCUUAUUUGAACAGAGAGCAUGAACAAGUUCAAAUUCAUCUAGGGACAAAAAUCAUACCUAAUCUCACCAGUGUAAGCACCUCCUUUCUUAACCCAACAAUUUUGUGCUGCGACAUGGAAUUCAGGGCGCAACGAGCUUUUUACGAGCGGAAGAAAAACAAAUGAAGGGCUAACCACCACAUCUGCAGAGAUAAUAAUACAUAUAAUUUAAUGCGUUUACAGUGGUUGCACAUCGACAACUAGCCUAUCUAACAGUUAUAAAUAGAUACAACAUGUAAAUGACAGCAUACACAUUCUAAUUCCACAAGACAGUUUUGCAGAACAUGUGAGGAACUGGAAAAGCAACUCAGCGGAUAACACCAAUGAGUAUCAAGAACUAAAGGUUUCAAAGGCGAAGAUAUAAUUCUAUCUCUCAGUCAAAUAAAAUUGACGAUCGCUAAAUCAUCAUGAAUUUCUUGAGAAUCUAGUCUCGUUAAAACUGAAAUUUGUGAAUCAGAUGCCAGAGGGGAUGGAAUAGAAAUUAAUGUUCAGAAACCAUCUGAAUAACGCACUGACUAAGUUUCACACCAAACCAAACAAAAUUGUUGGUUACCAACCACUCAUCUAACAUCUCACUAAUCAAGCAGCAAUGACCUGGAAUCUUACCUAAGGAUCUUAGCAGUUAAUACCGACGAUAUAAAAGACAAAAAUAUAUGAGGAAACAUUGAAAGAAAAAAGAAAGCUCAAGUAGAUCUGACAAGCAAAUGCAUAGGAUUUCAUUUGUGACAAAUAGAACAAACAGUAUGUGAAUAUUUCCAAAACAUAUCCCUAAAUAUUCGAUCAAGAUCAUAGGGUUCACAACCAUACCGACAACAUCAGCCGAUGCAACUUUGCCAUCGUUCAGGAUGCUGACAAUUUUCUUGACCUCCUCGCUGGUCCCAUUCUGCGAAUACGGCCCAAAUAAAAACACAUUUAGCAUCAGAGUUCCAUGAUCUUAUAUUUUUUCCCAUAUUUAGUAGGCAAUCAAAAUCAAAGAGGACUAGAGAACAUGGAGUGGAGACAUAAAAAAGGAAACAGAGGUGUCCGAAUCCAGUAUAUCAAGAAGAUCGACUCUAAUUAGUUAAAAUUAGUGGAAACGAAUAAGAUUAAUAUGAAUCAGAGAAGAACGAGAGGAAACAGCAACAAAUCAUGCCGAUCGAUGGGAUCGGAUAACUUAAAGCUGACGAUCGAUGAAAGACGAGUAAAUCGGAGAGAUUUCCAGCAACAAGGACUGGCCAAGACCGCAAAUUUCACCAGCCAGGCUAUUAAGAUCUGCAAAAGUGGCAGUAGGGCAAAGUACCAAGCGCGAUCUAGAAAAAGGAAGAAAAGGGUAAAUGCGAGGAUUACGCAUUUCCAGUUGCCGCCGACGAAGAACUUCCUGGCCAUGUCUGAGGAGGUAGGCGACGAUGCUCAAAUCCAAAAGCCCUUUCCCUUGGCUUGGUCGAAUUAGAGGAUGCGGAGGUCUGGGCACUCAUAUAUACGGCGACUGAGACGAGAGGCGAUGGAAACAAGGGGAUGCAUUGGCACGAAUCUCGAACGUGCCAUUGGCUCCGAUGGGUGUCCGCGAUCGAUCCCGCCCGUCGAAUCAUAAGGAUCAACGAUCUGCUGUUUCCCCUUGACACAGCGAAUAGAUUUAUCAUGGAAUAGAUAUCUAGACACGUAGAUAAAGCUUCCGGGACAGGACCCACAUACGUGCCGUCGUGCACAGCUGCCGGCGAGCUGACGGUGCGAGUCCUGCGUGGUGAUUGGGUUCUCGGGACAUCGAUUACACGCCGUCGAGGGCAAUAUAAUAAGAUCCAGGCACUUGUAAUACAGGAGGAGCCCAUCGGAUCGUACAUCUGUGGGUUGGAUGAACACAGCUCUCCACGAUCAUUCUAUUAUUAUUAUUAUUAUAGCAAUAUUAUAAUUAUUAUUUAAGAUCAAGAUACAGUUAACAUUUUUAGCAACUAAGCUAGUAAACAUCUUUAAUUUCUUUUAAAAAAUAUAUUAGAUGAUACUUUGACCUUUAAUAUUUGGUAAGAAAGUAUAAUAUAUCAUCACUAUAUUAAUAUUUAAUAUAUUUAUUGUAAUAAUAUUAAUUAUUAUAAAUUUAUGUAUCGGAUAAAAUAUUAUUAUAAGAUAUAUCGAGCAUGAUAUAUCUAUAUAGCUACAAGAUACAUCGAUCCAAAAUAUAAGCAUUAAUGUAUAGGAUGAACCAUAAUUGGGCAAAGGAUUUCUUAUGACCGAUGCAACCACUUAGAGCUCGACGAAGACAAUCAAAAUGUUUUUUUACUCUUUAAGAAAAUUAGAUUGAGAAGAAAACAAACAGGAAAAAGAAUUUUUUGUAUUGGGAAAAGACAGCUACUUCACAUAACAUAAAGCACCGAAUACAACACUGCUACCGUAUCCGGAAAUCAUACAUACUUAAAGGUAAGUAUGAUCGACAUCAUCUCUAAGUCUUACGGAAGGAUACUCCCUAUUUAAGAGCAACAACGCUUCAGCAACUCACGUCUGAUAUCUGCAGUUCCCGUAACCUGCCACAGUCAAAGAAUGAUCAGCGCUGCAGGAAUCAGGAAGAACAGAGAGGGAAAGCGUGAGAUCAGAUAAAACGCAUGCGUCCACUUACUUGGGUCGGUCGAGGUGAGGACGCCGCUGCCGCCAAAGUAGCAGUUGAAGUCAUGGCGGCCGGCGGCCUGGUAGUAGGCGUUCAUGGCAUAAGAGGCGUGGGCCAAGAGCGUGUUGGGGUCGAAGCACGCGCCGCCGUUCUGUAUGGCCCCGCAAUCCGCCCCGCCGCUGCCGCACGCGUAGUCGAUGUUGUUCUGCAGCUCCGCUAGGCUCGCGUCCGCCGUUGCCACGCACCACCUCCAGGAAUCACCCGAGGGCGCCGGCGCCUGCAGAAUACCACCGUCACUCGAGUAUCGAACGGAAGCAAAACUCAUUUCUAGCAUGGCUGCCCCAACCAUGUUAUCUAGCAUGACCGUCCGACCCUUUGGUAUAGUAACUUUUUUAGAAUGACGUAUUUACCCUCAAUAUAAUACGUAUACUCCCCCAAAAAACAGUGUUUAGUGUCGAUUGGUUUGAAUCAAAUAUUUAAGAUAUCAUUAAUAACAUUAUCACCGUAAAAUUGAACGGAUGUUUAUGAUAAAUUUAAAUUUAGAAGGAUAAAUACGAAUACGUGUAUAAGUAUAAUAUACGCAAUUUUGAAGUAAAAGUAAAGAGGAGGACAGGACUCACAUUGUCGCUGUCGCGCAUAAGGCCGACGUCGUAGGACGGGGAGAGGUCGGCGUUGAAGAGCCCAAAGUGCCGCUCCGCAGUCGGCCCGGGCUUCAGGUUCUCGUUGAACAGCGCGAACACGUACGUCUCGAACCGCCGGCCCGGCAUCAUCGGCGUUCCCUUCCCAGAGUUCACCAGACGUAUCAGGUUGGCGUUGUAGGAGACCGCGUCCUCCACGCUCACACCGAGCUGGCCCGGGUCCCCGGCCGACGGCCACCCCGUCUCCCCCACGGCGAUCUCUACGUCUCCGUACCCCAGUCGCUGCAUCGCCGCUUGCACCGCGUCCAGCUGCGCCACGAACAUGUUGGUGUAGUUCACCCCCGUGGCCGGGUCGAACACCCCCGGGUUGGGGCGGAAGAGGGCGUAGUCGAGAGUGCGCGCUGUGUAGCCGAAGUAGGGGUAGGGGUUCACCACGAACGGGGUGCGCGUCCGGCGGUGGAAGUCAAGCAUCGGGGCGAAGAUGACGCGGUCGUAGCCGGGGCGGAAGCGGCCGGUGGAGGGCGGCUCGGAUGCAGAGAGGAUACCGAGGGAGUGGGGGGUGGAGACCCUGAUCUGGGGGAAGCCGGAUGCGGCAAGUGCCGCGGAGAGGGAGCGCAUAGCGGGGACGAGAUGGGCGAUGAGGUUGCGGUCGGAGGUGGCGAGAACCUCGUUUCCGACGGCGAUGAGGGAGAUGUUGGUCGCAGGGUAGAAGGGGGCGACGUUUAUGGCAACCCAGGCGGAGGCAGCAGGGGAUGGGGCAGAGGAGCGACGGGAGGCGAGGGAGGGGAUGUCCCCGUUGGGGACCGUGAUCAUGAGGGAGAUUCCGGUGCCAGCGAAGGCACGAAUGAUGUCCGGGUUGGCGUCGAAGAGCUUCACACGGUCGACGAAGGUGCGGUCCUUGAGGAAGGCGGCGACUUGAGCCGGCGGCGGGAGAUUGUCCGCGAAGGCACCGUAGUUGACGCCGACGGAGAGGGCCGCGGACAAGGAGAGAAGGUGGAGUAGGAGUAAGGGGAAAACGACGAGCUUCGCUGCUUUCGCUAGAGAAGCCAUUGCCGAGGGAUUUGGGGCUUUUGGUGGUGAAGCGAGACGGCGAAGGGGGGUGGAUUUAACGAGGGAAAAAGGUGUGCGAUGUUCCACUGACGCCUGUGGGCGCUGUCACGUGGCGACGACUUCGAAACGGGGAAUACGAACGUUAUGUUUCAAGGAGGCUGCCGCGAUCCACAUUCAAAUACGUGGACGGCUGAUUGGGGCGGUCCAAACAAUAGCUUUAUGGACUAUGAUUUAGUGUACAUAAAAGCGGGCGUUAUAAAGAUUACCAAUUCAUUUCCAACGCAAAUAAUCCACGAUGAUUGCAGAUAUUAAAUAUAUAAUCACGCAUUUGUAUAUACAUAUUUGGUAAUAAUUAGGGGUUUCUUUAAUUGGAUUAAUUAAGGUAUUAAUAGCUUAAGAAACAGGAGCAAGAGAAAGAGCUUGAUGGGCCAUAAGGAGCAUUUGGACCUAACUUUGAUGGGCUGUAGAACGGCUCGAUAGAAGCCUGUCAAAAUGUGAAGCUGACGAGAACCGUUAAACCCUAACCGGCCGACUACUCCCUCUCUCUUCCUUCUCAGCGCUCCGUGCUUGCUGGUGACGAAGGUAUGACCGCUACAGCUCGCUAAGGAUGCUGGCCCGAUUCGUUUCCCAUCGCGGCCCCUUCCGCUUCGUAGCCCUAACCACCGUAGCUUCCUCCCAUGUCCGCCGCGCCCCGUCCUCUCCCCCUCCUCUCCGGCCUCCGCCCACCUUUCUUGGUACUCUUACUCGUCUCGCUCUCCCUCCCUCCGAUCCCAAUUCCACUUUCUUUCCGUCUCUGAGGUCAUUCUCGAGCAAUCGAGGUGACGAUGACGAUGGCGACUGGAAGUUUACGCCGCAGUCCGACGAGGUCGGCUCCGUAUUCGGGGAGGAGGAGGGCGACCUUGCCGGGAUCGCUGAUGCCGCAGAGGGCGGGUCGGAGGUGGCCGCCGCCGGGGCCGACGUUAAGAGCGGGGAUCUGUGGGAAAAGGGUAUUGUGACGGAGGGUGAAGGGGAUAUUUUUUACGGCAUCGAUCGGGGGUUUGUGGCCAAGGAGGGCGGGGUAAGAGAAGGGAAUGAGGAAUGGGAGACGGCGGAGGGGUACAAGCCGUGGACGCUUGGUGACGAUGAUGAGAAAGGGGACUUGUUCGGUGUCGUCGAAGAAGGGGAGGCAGGGAUUGAGGGGAUCGAUGGCGGUGGUGUCGAGGAUUUGGAUAAGGCAAGGGCUGAUGAGCAGAAGCAGCUGGAGAAGAAAGAGGAAGAACUUUUAGCUGCUUUGAAAGGUAAGAAUCACAGAACACAUCUCAAGAAAGGAUCUUCUUGUUUAAUGUUACCCGAUUGAUGUUAAUCUCAACAGUCAAUGCUUAUGUAUGUACCCAUUUUCUGCAAGCUGAUUUGUAAUUAUCAUUGAUCUGGAAUUUUCUAUGUUGCAAUAUUUAUUGAAAAGGUUUUAGCUUGUCUCUUCAAUAAUUUGAAGCUUAUCCUAGUUGUUUGUUGUCUUGUACUGUCACCUGUGCUGAUAUAUGUUUGGGAAAGAAACUGCUUCUUUCUUUAGGUUUCUCACAAAUGACUGGUCAUGUUUAUUGUUGGUUUGAUGAUGAACUUUCUUGCUGUAUCGUCUCCCAUUCCAAUUGUUUUGGUUCUCAAAAUGUCUUGUUCCUGUAGCAAGUGGCAUGAAUGACAUAUGGCAAGUAGCAGUCUCUAUUCAACAACAACUAAUGUCAAGUUGUCUUGCUCCUACAACAUAUAAAUAUGAAAAAAGCAUGAAUAAUCUGAGACACAGGCUUUGCCAUCUUUCUAAUGUGUACACGAGAGAGAGAGAGAGAGGACUCAAAAUAUAUUUUGUGUUAAACAUCUUUGUUCUAUGGUUACAUGUAAAUCCAUUGAAGUAAGAUUAUUGAUUUAAACCUAAUACCUGUGUGAAGGAAUUGUAUGUUUAUCUCAUCACAUAAUGUUGCUUCUUAGUUUCUAUUGUUGUUGUCUUUUCACUAUUUCUUCUUGUGGAGUGAUAUAUUUCUAUUUCAUCAUGGAAUGCUGUUUCUUACCUUCUUUUGGUGUUAUUGGUGUUCUUUCUUCUUGUGAAGUAAAUAUGAUAAGAUUAUGAGAAUUAAAAUGAGAAAUAAUAUAUGUUUAUUUCAUCAUAGAACAUUGCUUCUUAGUAUCUUUUGUUGUUUUCUUUGCUCUUUCUUCUUGUGAAAUAAUGUGGCAAUGUUGUGAGAAUUAAAAUGACAUCCGAGGAAAACAUAAUCUAUCUUGUUUUUAGCUCGUUUUAGCCCUUUUUUCUUUAGAGUGGUGGAUGUUCUUGAUACUAGUUUUCUCUGAGAGAUUUUACUCUUCUGUUUUGGUGAUCGUGCUUCUUUGUCAUCUUUGUUCUUUUGGUUAUCUAGCAGAACUUUUUUGGUAGUCCAAUUUCAUAUCUUGUUAUUUUACUUCUUUCUUUUAAUUUAAAUAUCCUGAAGAUAGUACAGGAUAACUGUUAGAUAGUUGAAGAUGUUUGGGUUCUGUUGUAUUGUAUGUUGGUACUUUCAGAGUAGGACCAAUGAAUAGAUAAGAAGCUCCAUUCAUGUUAAAGAGACUCUGAUUGCUUGCAUCUUGUGUUUCUCCUUAGUACACAGCAAUGCAAACUGCUUAGGGCUCAAUGUUUAAAAUGGCAGGUCCAAAUCGGGCAUUUGGAGAUCUCAUUGCAGCAUCAGGAAUCACGGAUGAUAUGAUUGACAGUUUGAUUCUCUUGAAGGAUGUAAGCGGUGUCAAGGGUUUGCCUCCCCUGACAGAAAUUGAAGACAAAGCUAUUGCAAGAUUGAAUGAGACAUCAACAAGAGUUGAAAUUGAGCGGAAGAAACAGGAGGAAGUAGCAAAAGCUCGGGUUAGAGUGGUGGAUGAGAAGGGGAGAGCUUAUGGAACAGGAAGACGAAAAUGUAGCAUAGCUCGUGUAUGGAUUCAACCUGGUGACGGCAAGUUCAUCGUCAAUGAAAAGCAGUUCGAUGCUUACUUCUCAAUUCUUGAUCAUCGAGUACAACUUCUUCAGCCUUUCAUUGUGACAAAAACUCUUGGUCUCUGGGAUGUAAAUUGCACCGUCCAAGGGGGUGGAGUUUCUGGUAAGCUUUAUGACUACAAAAUUAUCUUUGUUUUGAGAAUUAUUGUAGAUGAACGAUCCAAUUUUAAGUAGAAAAUAACAGUGAUUUAAAAAGGUGCUUGAGCGCUCGCCUAGGUCUCGGGCAAGACGAGACGAGGCUCAAGCCCCUCGUUUAAGGGCCAGGUUGCGCGCUUCAAAGAGGCGUCGCCUGGGCGCUCGCUCCAGACUAGGCACCGGGUGCUUCGGGCAAUCGCCCGGUUUAAUUAAGCAAACCGAACCAGACUUUUAAGUCUGGUUUGGUUAAAUAAUAUAGUUUCUUACCUCAAGCCACCCUUCACUCUCGCACGACCCCGAGGAACCCUAGUGUUGCUUCUGCCUUUGUCAUCGACACUUUUUGUCGUUGCCUCCGCCACUAAUGCAAAGGACCAAACCUUCCUUUGUCGUCGACUGGCGAGUCCGACGCCCCCCGUAGCUUCCUUCCGCUGUUGCUCUGUGUGCAGUUCCUUCCACUGUCGAGGGAGUGGAUCGCAAAUUCCUUCGCCACUGACGGACACCCUCUGAAGCUUUUGUCGUUGUUGCUGUUGCUGUCCGCAGCUUUCGUUGCCGAUGUCCGUAACUUCCUCCAUUGGCGCUGUUGCUAUUCGCAACUUUCGCCGCUAUCACUGCUGUUGUCCGCAACUUCUACCGUUGUCGCUGUUGCAACAAUUUUAAACUGAUCCUCUGUUAUUGUUAACAUUUUUUUCUCCCCUCUAACUAUUGUUAAUAGUAAAUAAUAUACUGUUAACAGUAUAUUUUUAAUUUAAUAUCAUAUUUUAUUUAAAUAUUUUUUAUUAUUUUAUAUAUUUUAAUAUUUUAAUAUUUUAGAGCAUUUCGUUUUGCUCGGUGAGCGCCAAGUGCCUUAGCCAUUUUGGGACCUUGGUGCCUAGCGUUUUUUAAAUCACUGACAAGUACAUGUGUCGUAAGACAUACACAAGCAUUGUUAUAAAUUCUGUUUUUCUUAGUUGACGAACUGAAAGACAAAAAUUACCUUUGUAGAUUUAGAGAGGCUAUCUUUUCUUGUUUUUAGCUAUGGGACUGAUGCAACGAACCUCUUCGCUAUUGCAGGUCAAGUUGGUGCCAUUCGCUUGGGAAUCAGCAGAGCCUUGCAAAACUGGGAACCAGGGCUCCGGCCUUUCCUAAAAGCUGGUAAAUACUCUUACCAAAUUAGUUAUUAAGAUAUACUGUGAUAAAAUUUAACAAUCCAUUUUAAAUCCUAGCAUUGCAGUGUAACCUCAUCCUCAUUGUGCUUCUCAUGAACCCCCUCUUGGAUUUAGUAACCGACCUACCUUCAUCGCCCGUGUUUAGAUUCGAGUAGUGUGGCAUAUAGUGUGGUACUUAUUAUCCAACUGUUGACAUGGCUUGUGUGCUUCAUCUAGCUGGCUAUUUGACGCGAGACCCACGUGUAGUCGAACGGAAGAAGCCUGGAAAGGCCAAAGCCAGGAAGAGCUUUCAAUGGGUCAAGCGAUAACAGGUGUGGUUGUCAUUCCCUUUCUCACUGGAGAUACACUACCCUGUCACCAUUUAGGGGCUUACGAUGUUGAUCUGGAGAUGUAUCAUUUAUAAUGUGCAGGUUCUUGCGCAUCUUCUGCUCUCAGCUAUUUGGUAUUGCUGGCCCCUCAGUGAUGUUAUACCUCUGCUUGUUUUGUAGCCUGUAGCUCAAGAGAUCUUACUUACUACUUGCUCAUCCACUUGUGAUCAUAUAAUUAAUUUAUUUGAGCAACUGUAGGCAUCCAUCUAUCAAUCUUUUGCUUGUCAGCUUUUAUGUGGACCUUCUGUGUUUCAGAAUAAAGCGAACCAUCAAUUUUUCAAAGAGACACCAUUACUGUUCCAGAAUUGAAUUGAGGAAGGUAGUGAUGAUGUCUUGUUGUUUUUAAAGGUAACGGUGUAAAUCCUUUUAUCAAUAAUGUUUCUUUAGAAAAUUAUAAGACCUGAAAGUGAAUCAGAUUAUCAAUUUAUAUUUUACAUUGGAAAUUGUGCAAAAUGAUAUGUUGAACCUCAUUUCCCUUCUCUCCAUCUCUUCCGGUUUCUCCCAUUUGACAAACUUAUUGGGAAUAUUGAUCUGAAUUUAUUUUUAUAUCUGAGGAGUUAAUGACCUGACAAAGAUACACUUUUUGAUUUAUUUGUCGAGGAUUAAAGAUUCAAUGAUCUUUUUUGAUUUAUUUGGCAAGAAUUUAAUAAAUAAACAUUCAAAUUUUAUCAACAUUUUUUUAUACCAAAAAUAUUGAUCUUCUUGUUUAUCUGCAUAAUCAAUCCACUUCUCUAAAAUCACAAGCUCAGAACAGGAAAGCGAUAUGCAUCACAGGAAGAAAACUUGCUUCUUUUUCAAGUACUAAACGACACACAACACUCGAAACUAACAGCAGACGCACACAAACCACAGACAACAAGAUAGAAGCAAGAGAGAGAGAGAGAGAGAGAGGGAGAGGUCUGUUCUCUCUCUCAGCCAUGGUGACGAGAACAACAUCCUCCGAGGGAAGAGGGUUGAGACAGUAAGCCAUGGCCUUUUAUUUCCAUCACCAAGUCCAAACACAAGUCACUAACCCCACAACACCACCACCGAUGCUGCUCCUCUCCCUCUUCAAACUCUGAUCAUCUCCCUCAUUUGCAGUUGCAGGGAUCGCAGGUGCAGUUGGAUCCGCACUUGCAGCCAUUCUCGGACCCUUCAGCUGCCAU